rnacentral:rRNA from 1 species
AGUCGAGGGGUAUUGUAGCAAUACAAGAGACCGGCGCACGGGUGCGUAACGCGUAUGCAACCUACCUUGAACAGGGGGAUAGCCCAGAGAAAUUUGGAUUAAUACCCCAUGGUAUAUUAGAAUGGCAUCAUUUUAUUAUUAAAGUCACAACGGUUCAAGAUGGGCAUGCGUCCCAUUAGCUAGAUGGUAAGGUAACGGCUUACCAUGGCUACGAUGGGUAGGGGUCCUGAGAGGGAGAUCCCCCACACUGGUACUGAGACACGGACCAGACUCCUACGGGAGGCAGCAGUGAGGAAUAUUGGUCAAUGGGCGCAAGCCUGAACCAGCCAUGCCGCGUGCAGGAUGAAGCAUCUAUGGUGUGUAAACUGCUUUUGUACGGGAAGAAACACCGGUUCGUGAACCGGCUUGACGGUACCGUAAGAAUAAGGAUCGGCUAACUCCGUGCCAGCAGCCGCGGUAAUACGGAGGAUCCAAGCGUUAUCCGGAAUCAUUGGGUUUAAAGGGUCCGUAGGCGGCCAGGUAAGUCAGUGGUGAAAGCCCAUCGCUCAACGGUGGAACGGCCAUUGAUACUGCCAGGCUUGAAUUUCUGGGAAGUAACUAGAAUAUGUAGUGUAGCGGUGAAAUGCUUAGAUAUUACAUGGAAUACCAAUUGCGAAGGCAGGUUACUACCAGUGGAUUGACGCUGAUGGACGAAAGCGUGGGUAGCGAACAGGAUUAGAUACCCUGGUAGUC